AUGCCACAGGGGCCGGGCAAAGUGUGGAUUCAAGAAGAGGCAGGAACUUGAGGAUCAAAGGGAAACAGAUGGCAAGGAAAAAAGAAACCUGUUGCUGAAAACCAAGAAAGUAGCAUGCCCUGCUGUGUUCACAAUCAGCCGCAUUGUGAAGUUCCCUGGAUUCAAGUUGGAGAAGGACACAUCACGGUUG